rnacentral:rRNA from 1 species
GACGAACCGUGCGAACGUUGUUCGGAAUCACUGGGCUUAAAGGGCGCGUAGGCGGGUUCGCAAGUCUGUGGUGAAAGCCUCCAGCUUAACUGGAGAAGUGCCAUGGAUACUGCGCAUCUUGAGGAGGGUAGGGGCGUCUGGAACGGUCGGUGGAGCGGUGAAAUGCGUUGAUAUCGACCGGAACUCCGAUGGCGAAGGCGAGGCGCUGGACCCUUUCUGACGCUGAGGCGCGAAAGCCAGGGGAGCAAACGGG